AUGGCGGCGGGGGAGAAAGUCCCAGCAAGCGGCGGGUUGGCGCAGCAGCCACCGCCGAUCGUCACGAACAACGACCUGCCGCUGGCGGCGUCCAACUCCAACCUGCACGCCUUCACGUUCGCGGAGCUGUGCGCGGCGACCGAGGGGUUCGCCUGCUGCAACCAAAUCGGCAGCGGCGAGUUCGGGACGGCGUACAGGGGAUUCAUCGAGGACGGUGUCCGGCCGGGGCUCCCGGCGCAGCCCGUCGCCGUCAAGCGGACACGGUGGCGGGUCGACAACUACGUCGAGGGAAUGGUGAAGGAGGCGAUGUUCCUCGGGGAGCUGCAGCUGCGGCAUCCCUGCCUGGUGAGGAUGAUCGGCUACUGCUGCGAGGAGGAGCACAGGCUCCUCGUCUACGAGCUCAUGGACCAUGGCAGCUUGGACGACUACUUCUUCAAGCGUACACUAAGCAUCGUCUUAGCUACGGCGAAAGGGCUGGUGUCCCUCCACGGCGCGGAGAAGCCAUUGAUCUGCGGCGAAUUCAAUGCCUCCGACAUCCUACUGGACUCGGUAGGAGACCAUUCUGCAUCUCUCGCCCUUGUUAAAUGUUAA
rnacentral:rRNA from 1 species